rnacentral:rRNA from 1 species
GACGAACGCUGGCGGCGUGCUUAACACAUGCAAGUCGAACGGAAAGGCCCUGCUUUUGUGGGGUGCUCGAGUGGCGAACGGGUGAGUAACACGUGAGUAACCUGCCCUUGUCUUUGGGAUAACUUCAGGAAACUGGGGCUAAUACCGGAUAGGAGCUCCUGCUGCAUGGUGGGGGUUGGAAAGUUUCGGCGGUUGGGGAUGGACUCGCGGCUUAUCAGCUUGUUGGUGGGGUAGUGGCUUACCAAGGCUUUGACGGGUAGCCGGCCUGAGAGGGUGACCGGGCACAUGGGCACUGAGAUACGGCCCAGACGCAUACGGGAGGCAGGAGUGGGGAAUAUUGCACAAUGGGCGGAAGCCUGAUGCAGCAACGCCGCGUGCGGGAUGACGGCCUUCGGGUUGGAAACCGCUUUCGCCUGUGACGAAGCGUGAGUGACGGUAAUGGGGAAAGAAGCACCGGCUAACUACGU